CUGGGCGCUCAUGGGAUCACACCCAGGAAGGGAUAAGCCAUGUAUGUCUCCUGAUAAAGGAGGCGGUUACAGGAUUUUUUUUUUUUCUUUUUAAAUAUUAGGCCCAAGGUUACUGGGGAAAAUGACCAAGCCAGCCGGAGACAUGGAGAAGACCCCACCUCCAAGGCAGAGGGGACGCCUCUGCCAGCCCCAGCCCCUUGUCUCCUGUGUCUCCUCGUGUCCGUCCCGGGGAGGGGCUGCUCCCCCUGGACACGGGGCCGUUCACACAGUAAAACAGACACCGACAGACGGGAACCUCCACAGACGUCCCUCGUGGGGAUCGCUGCCUCCGACUCUCGCGGAGAAACUGGUCCCAGACCAUCCCUCCCGGCACAGACAUGUAACAGAAGCCAAGACAGUCGGCCACCUGCAAACCUGUUGUCCGGGGGCAUU